rnacentral:rRNA from 1 species
GAUGAACGCUGACAGAAUGCUUAACACAUGCAAGUCUUUGGUGAAGCUGUGCUUGCACAGCCUAGCCAAGGCGGACGGGUGAGUAACGCGUAAGGAACUUGCCCUGCAGUCAGGGAUAACAGACGGAAACGACUGAUAAGACCUGGUAAAGUCAGGCGGACUCAUGUCCAGCCUGAUGAAAAGAGAUGCUGCAGGAGAGCCUUGCGUCCUAUUAGCUUGUUGGUGGGGUAACGGCCCACCAAGGCAAUGAUAGGUAGCCGGCCUGAGAGGGUGGACGGCCACAAGGGGACUGAGAUACGGCCCUUACUCCUACGGGAGGCAGCAGUGGGGAAUAUUGGACAAUGGGGGCAACCCUGAUCCAGCAAUGCUGUGUGCACGAUGAAGGUUUUCGGAUUGUAAAGUGCUUUCAGCAGGGAAGAAAAAAAUGACGGUACCUGCAGAAGAAGCGACGGCGAAAUACGU